rnacentral:rRNA from 1 species
AAUCAACGCUGGCGGCGUGCCUAACACAUGCAAGUCGAACGCGAAAGGGACUUCGGUCCUGAGUAGAGUGGCGAACGGGUGAGUAACGCGUGGGUGACCUACCCUCGAGUGGGGGAUAACGUUCCGAAAGGGACGCUAAUACCGCAUGACAUUCCGGGUUUGAAGACCUGGAAAUCAAAGCCGGGGACCGCAAGGCCUGGCGCUAGAGGAGGGGCCCGCGUCUGAUUAGCUAGUUGGCGGGGUAAUGGCCCACCAAGGCGACGAUCAGUAGCCGGCCUGAGAGGGCGGACGGCCACACUGGGACUGAGACACGGCCCAGACUCCUACGGGAGGCAGCAGUGGGGAAUUGUUCGCAAUGGGCGAAAGCCUGACGACGCAACGCCGCGUGGAGGAUGAAGGUCUUCGGAUUGUAAACUCCUGUUGAUCGGGACGAAAAGCUUCAACCCAAUACGUUGAAGACUGACGGUACCGGUUGAGGAAGCCACGGCUAACUCUGUGCCAGCAGCCG